rnacentral:sRNA from 1 species
GGCCUCCGGGGCCUUGCGGGGACUCACCCCUUCAGCGUCGCUGCCCCCAGCUCAGCUCUUACUGCGGGCCGCUCCGACGGCGGUCCAUCCUGUCAGGGACUAUGCGGCGCAAACAUCUCCUUCGCCAAAAGCAGGCGCCGCCACCGGGCGCAUCGUGGCGGUCAUUGGCGCAGUGGUGGACGUCCAGUUUGAUGAGGGACUACCACCAAUUCUAAAUGCCCUGGAAGUGCAAGGCAGGGAGACCAGACUGGUUUUGGAGGUGGCCCAGCAUUUGGGUGAGAGCACAGUAAGGACUAUUGCUAUGGAUGGUACAGAAGGCUUGGUUAGAGGCCAGAAAGUACUGGAUUCUGGUGCACCAAUCAAAAUUCCUGUUGGUCCUGAGACUUUGGGCAGAAUCAUGAAUGUCAUUGGAGAACCUAUUGAUGAAAGAGGUCCCAUCAAAACCAAGAAAUUCUGGUGACUGGUAUCAAGGUUGUCGAUCUGCUAGCUCCCUAUGCCAAGGGUGGCAAAAUUGGGCUUUUUGGUGGUGCCGGAGUUGGCAAGACUGUACUGAUCAUGGAGUUAAUCAACAAUGUCGCCAAAGCCCAUGGUGGUUACUCUGUGUUUGCUGGUGUUGGUGAGAGGACCCGUGAAGGCAAUGAUUUAUACCAUGAAAUGAUUGAAUCUGGUGUUAUCAACUUAA